rnacentral:rRNA from 1 species
UGAUCCUGGCUCAGAUUGAACGCUGGCGGCAGGCCUAACACAUGCAAGUCGAGCGGAUGAAAGGAGCUUGCUCCUGGAUUCAGCGGCGGACGGGUGAGUAAUGCCUAGGAAUCUGCCUGGUAGUGGGGGACAACGUUUCGAAAGGAACGCUAAUACCGCAUACGUCCUACGGGAGAAAGCAGGGGACCUUCGGGCCUUGCGCUAUCAGAUGAGCCUAGGUCGGAUUAGCUAGUUGGUGAGGUAAUGGCUCACCAAGGCGACGAUCCGUAACUGGUCUGAGAGGAUGAUCAGUCACACUGGAACUGAGACACGGUCCAGACUCCUACGGGAGGCAGCAGUGGGGAAUAUUGGACAAUGGGCGAAAGCCUGAUCCAGCCAUGCCGCGUGUGUGAAGAAGGUCUUCGGAUUGUAAAGCACUUUAAGUUGGGAGGAAGGGCAGUAAAUUAAUACUUUGCUGUUUUGACGUUACCGACAGAAUAAGCACCGGCUAACUCUGUGCCAGCAGCCGCGGUAAUACAGAGGGUGCAAGCGUUAAUCGGAAUUACUGGGCGUAAAGCGCGCGUAGGUGGUUUGUUAAGUUGGAUGUGAAAUCCCCGGGCUCAACCUGGGAACUGCAUCCAAAACUGGCAAGCUAGAGUAUGGUAGAGGGUGGUGGAAUUUCCUGUGUAGCGGUAAAUGCGUAGAUAUAGGAAGGAACACCAGGCGAAGGCGACCACCGAC